AGAUGUUAAAGUUGACAAUAUGGCCCCUCCUUCUUCUUCUCCAUCUCCUUCCUGCUACCAACCCUUUUACCCUAAACGUACCCAACGUACUGUUACCGCUACACAUCCCGCACACUUUGCACACUAACUUCACCCUCUCAGCUGACUCUGGCUGUUUUGAAUGGUUGACCACUAAGGAGUUGGUUGUUAGCAUCAGACCCCUGUACGACGACAGCUCAACAACUGAAGGGUGCAGCAGAAGAUCAGAGCUCACUUCGCUGAGUCAGGAUCCAGACAGACAACUGAGUCUCAUCCUAGCCAGGGAAACUAGUACAGAAAGUGAACUGCGUGUGGAUGUGUUUGUGGACACGAUCACCAGAAUAGCUAUCAGGACUACAUC